AACGAACGCUGGCGGCAUGCCUAACACAUGCAAGUCGAACGAGACCUUCGGGUCUAGUGGCGCACGGGUGCGUAACGCGUGGGAACCUGCCCUUAGGUUCGGAAUAACUCCCCGAAAGGGGUGCUAAUACCGGAUAAUUUCUUCGGACCAAAGAUUUAUCGCCUUUGGAUGGGCCCGCGUUGGAUUGGUUAGUUGGUAGGGUAAAAGCCAACCAAGGCGACGUGCCAUAGCUGGGCUGGUAGGAUGACAAGCCACACUGGGACUGAGACACGGCCCAGACUGCCACGGGAGGCAGCAGUGGGGAAUAUUGGACAAUGGGCGAAAGCCUGAUCCAGCAAUGCCGCGUGAGUGAUGAAGGCCUUAGGGUUGUAAAGCUCUUUUACCCGGGAUGAUAAUGACAGUACCGGGAGAAUAAGCUCCGGCUAACUCCGUG
rnacentral:rRNA from 1 species